AAAUUGAAGAGUUUGAUCAUGGCUCAGAUUGAACGCUGGCGGCAGGCCUAACACAUGCAAGUCGAACGGUAGCACAGAGAGCUUGCUCUCGGGUGACGAGUGGCGGACGGGUGAGUAAUGUCUGGGAAACUGCCUGAUGGAGGGGGAUAACUACUGGAAACGGUAGCUAAUACCGCAUAACGUCGCAAGACCAAAGAGGGGGACCUUCGGGCCUCUUGCCAUCAGAUGUGCCCAGAUGGGAUUAGCUAGUAGGUGGGGUAACGGCUCACCUAGGCGACGAUCCCUAGCUGGUCUGAGAGGAUGACCAGCCACACUGGAACUGAGACACGGUCCAGACUCCUACGGGAGGCAGCAGUGGGGAAUAUUGCACAAUGGGCGCAAGCCUGAUGCAGCCAUGCCGCGUGUAUGAAGAAGGCCUUCGGGUUGUAAAGUACUUUCAGCGAGGAGGAAGGUGUUGAGGUUAAUAACCUCAGCAAUUGACGUUACUCGCAGAAGAAGCACCGGCUAACUCCGUGCCAGCAGCCGCGGUAAUACGGAGGGUGCAAGCGUUAAUCGGAAUUACUGGGCGUAAAGCGCACGCAGGCGGUCUGUCAAGUCGGAUGUGAAAUCCCCGGGCUCAACCUGGGAACUGCAUUCGAAACUGGCAGGCUAGAGUCUUGUAGAGGGGGGUAGAAUUCCAGGUGUAGCGGUGAAAUGCGUAGAGAUCUGGAGGAAUACCGGUGGCGAAGGCGGCCCCCUGGACAAAGACUGACGCUCAGGUGCGAAAGCGUGGGGAGCAAACAGGAUUAGAUACCGGUAGUCCACGCCGUAAACGAUGUCGACUUGGAGGUUGUGCCCUUGAGGCGUGGCUUCCGGAGCUAACGCGUUAAGUCGACCGCCUGGGGAGUACGGCCGCAAGGUUAAAACUCAAAUGAAUUGACGGGGGCCCGCACAAGCGGUGGAGCAUGUGGUUUAAUUCGAUGCAACGCGAAGAACCUUACCUACUCUUGACAUCCAGAGAACUUUCCAGAGAUGGAUUGGUGCCUUCGGGAACUCUGAGACAGGUGCUGCAUGGCUGUCGUCAGCUCGUGUUGUGAAAUGUUGGGUUAAGUCCCGCAACGAGCGCAACCCUUAUCCUUUGUUGCCAGCGGUUAGGCCGGGAACUCAAAGGAGACUGCCAGUGAUAAACUGGAGGAAGGUGGGGAUGACGUCAAGUCAUCAUGGCCCUUACGAGUAGGGCUACACACGUGCUACAAUGGCGCAUACAAAGAGAAGCGACCUCGCGAGAGCAAGCGGACCUCAUAAAGUGCGUCGUAGUCCGGAUUGGAGUCUGCAACUCGACUCCAUGAAGUCGGAAUCGCUAGUAAUCGUAGAUCAGAAUGCUACGGUGAAUACGUUCCCGGGCCUUGUACACACCGCCCGUCACACCAUGGGAGUGGGUUGCAAAAGAAGUAGGUAGCUUAACCUUCGGGAGGGCGCUUACCACUUUGUGAUUCAUGACUGGGGUGAAGUCGUAACAAGGUAACCGUAGGGGAACCUGCGGUUGGAUCACCUCCUUACCUUAAAGAA
rnacentral:rRNA from 1 species